rnacentral:misc_RNA from 1 species
AACUUUUGGCAACGGAUCACUCGGCUCUCGCAUCGAUGAAGAGCGUAGCGAAUUGCGAAAAUUAGGGCGACUUGCAUAAAUCGCGAGCCAUCGAGUUCUUGAACGCACACUGCACCCUCUGGGUAACCAAAGGGUCUGUCCGGUUGAGUAUUGAUUGAUUAAAGUCACGCUGCAAGGUGUGGAUAUGAGGCACUGGAGAGCAUGAGCACUCUUGUGGCUUGAAUUGAAUGUAGAGGCUGUAGUGAGCCACGUGUUGUAGUCCCGUGCCUGGUUGCAGGUUAGGAUCAGCGCGUACCAGUUUAAUGCAGCUACUAUAACAGCGAUAUGUUGGUGCCUUUUGGCAUCCAACCCCCAUGCAAUCUCAACUCGGAUAGGAUUACCCGCUGAACUUAAGCAUAUCAAUAAGCGGAGGCU